rnacentral:rRNA from 1 species
CAGGGAAUAUUGCACAAUGGACGGAAGUCUGAUGCAGCGACGCCGCGUGGAUGACGAAGGCCUUCGGGUCGUAAAAUCCUUUUUGGGGGGAAGAGAGAGGACGGUACCCCCGGAAUAAGCGUCGGCUAACUACGUGCCAGCAGCCGCGGUAAUACGUAGGACGCGAGCGUUAUCCGGAUUUACUGGGCGUAAAGCGUCUGUAGGCGGUAGUGUAAGUUGGAUGUGAAAGCUCCGGGCUUAACUCGGAGAGGCCAUUCAAUACUGCGC